rnacentral:lncRNA from 1 species
GGGCCAAUCACAUUCACGUGGAUCCUAGGAUCCUAGGUUCUAGAGUAACCAGGAGGAAGGUUCUGCUCUGUGCACAUUCAUUACUAGACUUGCCGCCUCUCUCUCAUGAAUUAACCAGCUCUCUCUAAAGUGGCCCGACUCGUCGGUAUUUCAUAAGCUGGCUCUUCUCCCCUUUGGCUGCUCUCCCUGGGGUCCUUGUCAGACCCCCAGAUCUCCCAGCCGUAUUAGCGGUGUGGCAACAAUAAACCAGAGGCACAAACCAUCAUUUACACUCUAUCAGCUGGGAGCCCGAUUACAGCCAAAGUCACCUUUAACUGCGGUCCCUGCAAGUGCUCCAGGAUGGCCAACGUCCUCCUAGACGCCUGGGCUGAUGGCGGUGAAGCUCUGCUGGGCCACAUUCCAUGGCCUCUAUAGGGCCCAGGGCUGGGCCAAGGCUAGGGAGGCUCCCGUUUUGCAGAAGAGGAAGUUGAGGCUUCACGAAAUGGAGCCCUCAGCCUCCGGCUUCUCCCACGUGACGCCGAUGCCUUCCGCUGUCCUGACCUGGGAUGGUCUUCCAUCCAGAGCUGCCUCCCGCUUGCUGGAA